rnacentral:rRNA from 1 species
UGGGGAAUUUUGGACAAUGGGCGAAAGCCUGAUCCAGCAAUGCCGCGUGUGUGAAGAAGGCCUUCGGGUUGUAAAGCACUUUUGUCCGGAAAGAAAUCCUUGGCUCUAAUACAGUCGGGGGAUGACGGUACCGGAAGAAUAAGCACCGGCUAACUACGUGCCAGCAGCCGCGGUAAUACGUAGGGUGCAAGCGUUAAUCGGAAUUACUGGGCGUAAAGCGUGCGCAGGCGGUUUGCUAAGACCGAUGUGAAAUCCCCGGGCUCAACCUGGGAACUGCAUUGGUGACUGGCAGGCUAGAGUAUGGCAGAGGGGGGUAGAAUUCCACGUGUAGCAGUGAAAUGCGUAGAGAUGUGGAGGAAUACCGAUGGCGAAGGCAGCCCCCUGGGCCAAUACUGACGCUCAUGCACGAAAGCGUGGGGAGCAAACAGGAUUAGAUACCCUGGUAGUCCACGCCCUAAACGAUGUCAACUAGUUGUUGGGGAUUCAUUUCCUUAGUAACGUAGCUAACGCGUGAAGUUGACCGCCUGGGGAGUACGGUCGCAAGAUUAAAAGCUCAAAGGAAUUGACGGGGUCAUAGCUGUUUCCU